GGACUCCAUUUUGACGUAGAUUCAUGGGGCAUUGGGCUUUUUUAAUAAUAAAAUGGGCCUAUUCGGUUUAUGGCCCAAUUAACCAGUUUUUAGAUUGGGCUUUUUAAAAACCAGAAGGUCAUAUUCGGUUCGAUGGCCGCAUAAACUAGUUUUUGCAUGUGCUCCCACUCCCAGGGAUACUGUUGUUCUCUACUUCUUUAGUUGAGCGGUGUACUCAAUGUGCUUGUUGUUCUUUGACCUUUUUUCCUUGAGAGUCUUCAUGUUUGUCAAGGUUGGCGUUCUUUAGAGCUGCGGAUUUUUUUUUUCCCCUUUUGUGUGGAUAUUUCAAAUACAUUUUUCUUGGAGUAUUGCAGUUAGGCUCGGAAUUUACCAAUCUCCAAUAGGUCUCUUGGAGAUGUGUUGGACAGAUUGGUUAUGUGGUACGUAGUUUGGGUCAGUGUGAGUGGUGUCUUUCAAAUAGACUGCAGUUAAGAAUUGAGAGCCUUGAAAAUAUUUCAGAACGAACAAAUUUGUGAAUAAUGAUUGGCCUCGCAUCUUUUAAUUUCUCAUUCAGUUAAUCCAUUUAUUUUGCAUUUAUACUUUUAUCGACCAGCUGGAGUAGUUUAAAGAAAAUUAGGCAAUUUUCUACGGUCAGUCGAUCUACUGGACUAUUUCGUCAUUGUGUGACAUGCGGUAGUCGGUUUCAAAAGUUUAUCAUCUCCACGUGGCAAACUAAAGGAUGGGCUGGAGACCAAGCACCGCUAUGCUAUGGGCGGGAGACCGAAAGCAGAAUCUGGAAUUGUCAGUUAACUAAUCUUUCAUUUUUGCCCUAGCGAGACAAAUCCUUCUCCCUAUCGCGUUCUCCCUCUCUCGAAAGGGCUGCGAAGCUUCAAUGGCGUGUCUUCUCAAUGGAGUGAUCCGCGAGGAUUGAUCUCUAGGCAGUCGUUCGAUACCCCUCUUUAUAGAGUUCAUUCCCUGUUCUCUCUUACUUGAUCUACGAGGAAACUAAUCUUUCGUUUUUGCCCUAGCGAGACACAUCCUUCUCUCUCUUUCGCAUUCUCCCUCUCCCGAAAGGCGAAGCAUCAAUGACGUCUAGGUACCUGGUAGUGUCUCUUCUGUUCAAGUCUCAAUGGAGCCGUCUACGGGAACUGAUCUCUAGGCAGUCGUUCGAUACUCCUCUUUAUAGAUUAAAUAUUCAAAAUCUCCGUGUCCGUACCUGCAUCCUCUCCUUACACUCGACGAUGAUCUCUCAAAAGUGGUAGUUUCGCACAAGAUCAGGUGAAAGAUCGAGGAGUUGGACAAGGUUUCGGACGUGGAGAGCAGUGCCGUCACUGUUGAUGGUGUGCCUAUUUUCUCAUAUCUCUCUAUGUAAUUGCUAACAAGGUAUGUAUUUCACGGAAUAUUGCUGGUAUAAUCUGAGUUUGACAUUUGUUUUUGGUGUUAUUUACUGAAUUUUGUGCUGUGAUGCUAGAUUGGUAUAGAACAAAGCAAAGUAUCCAACACUGCAUCUGUUAAAGGAGAUGGUGGAUAUCAUUCAUGGUCUAGUUGCAAAGAUUGAGGAUAACCUCAUGGUGAUGAUUGUUUCACUUUUUUUUGUCCUUUUAAAAUUAACUCCUAUUCUCCUAGGGAAGAGAUAAAACUGUUGCUUAAGUUAAAUAGAGGUUUGCUUGGAUGUGUUGGAUAUUGUAUGACAUUGAACUAGUGAUGUGUGACUGAAAAUUUCCCAUGUGUACAAUGUGAUAUGAGAAUGUAUACAGUUUGGCAUGUGUGAACUACAUAAUGAGUCCAUGACAUGUGGGGUUUGGCAAACUGCUAAUGGAUUUUUUUGUUGUUCUUAAUUAUUAUUUUUUGAAUAAAUGUUCUUAGACAUAUUAAUUUCCUUAACUUCUUCAAUUAUCACUUGUUACUUGACAAUCGUGUGCUCCGAUUUUGUGUUGAUAUUCAUCAGUUUGUUGCUGUGAUUGACUGAACCUUUCUGUUUCCUAUUACCAUUUGCCUUAGGACUCUCAGAUUUCUAGUCUGGAGAUUAUUAACAUAAAUGAUAUAUAUCUAUGCAUCUUUCAUUGGUAAUUUGUGCCAUGUUUGAUUUCCAAGUAUCUGAAUAGUACAAUGUCCACAGUCAGCUAAAUGCUAGAAACAGAAAGCGUAUUGGAAAGUAAAAAUUUUGAAUUAUGUUUUAAAGCUUAUACAACAAUUUUAUAUUUUAUUCAAAUACCGUAGUGUGACUUAUAUAAUUGUUGACUGCAGCUUCACCGUCGGUGAUUUUUCCAAUUUGGUGAAAUGGAAGAUAUAAUUAUAUCAGUAAAUAAAUACAGUGUUGAUGUUGAUUACUAUCCUGCUUCAUGAUUAAUCCUAUCUUAUAUGUUAAUGUUUGUACGAAUGAGUGCUAUGUUGAUAAUUCUUAAUCUUAAUUCUUUUUGAUUGAUGGAGUGCUCUUUCAAGUUCACAAUUCCUUUAAGAAUUCAUAUAAGGAUAAUGAAUAUGCACUUUCUACUGUAACACUAUGUUGUCUGAGUUGUGAACAAUUUUCAGAACAAGUGCGCAUGAAAGGGUUUUCAUUUGAGUAAAUCAAAUGGCAUGCUUGUGCUUUUCAUUUACAUAUAACUAUAUAAGUCAUCAUCAAAACCUUUCACCCAAAUAGUUUGUGGCUGUUUUCCAAAUCGUUUGGGGUUCUUUGAUAUGUGAGUUUUCCUGGACAUGAAAUAUUGAUGUUUAAAACAAUUUUUAAACUUUUAAAUUUUACCUCGUUUUUCAUUCAGUAUUAAAACUCGGAUGUACCUCCUAUGGUAAUUGUUCUGUUCUAUCAGAUAUUAACAUGUCGAUCAGAUUGGGUAUUUCGAAUAUAUUCUGAAAGCACAAGAAAAGAGGAAGGAAGAGUUGCAAAAGUUGAUGCAUGAUGAAGAAAGUUUGGAAAGCUUGCAUCUGCAAUGGUGCUAUGCCAGUUAUGGGGAGAUAAUGUCCUUUUGUGUUUCUUAUAUAUUUUUUCCAAAUAGUUCCAUGAUUGUUUUUCCUUGCUAUGUUAGUUUCACUCGUUGCUUACAAAUGGAUGAUAUUAUUGCUCUUUCUAACAGAGACAAUCAUCUUUUGAGACAUUUUAGAGCUGAUUUACAAGAAUAUUAUCCCCAGACCAAAGGACCAUUGCACCAAACCCUUUCAACUUGGUGUCGCUUUUGCUGCAAUGCCAAAGGAGCAACCUUCGGUGAUUUAAGUGCUCUUUGAUUUCUGAGUGUGUACUGGAAAUCUGCAAGUCCAUUUUUAUUCUAGAUAUCUGAUUGCUUUCCUCGAUUUUUAAGUACUCUUUGAGUUCUGAGUGUGCACUGGAAAUCCAUGAGUCCAUUUCUAUUCUAGAUAUCUGAUUGCUUUCCGUUUGUUUAAUCUGCGAAGAAGCUAGGUUUUUGUGGGACUGUAUAUUCUUUUCCACAUUUUUGUGGAUUUCUAUUGUGCGUGAUUUCAGCCUAGUCACUGGUGGUGUUUACUCCUGCUGCCCCUUUUGCUGCCAGUAAUCUGGCAAAGGUUUAACACUCUAAAUGAUCAAGGGAAUUUAGUUUUGUUCCUUUAUGUGGGCCUUUAAACUUUCAUAGGAUAAUGUUGAAGUUGCUUCAAUGACCUAUCAAGGUAAUGAGGCUCAUCUGUCCUGCAAUUGGAGCUUAUUUUGGGUCAUAUUGGGUGAUUUUAGUGUGCAAAAUGGUUUGCUUUGGAUUCUUCCUGUGAUGGAAACUUUACUAGUGAGAUCAUGUACCUUAAUUUCAUUUCUGAUCCUCGGAUCAUGAUAUUGCCUCCAAGGAAUAGUGCCCACAGGAAAAAUAAUGCCGUGAGGCCAGAAUCCAUUUUGUUCUUUCUUAUGCGGUGAUGGUAAAGGUGUUUUGUUUUGGCAUGAAUAUUUUGUCCUGCUUACAUUAUCCUUUCAUCAGUUAUCAUUUCCUGUAUGUUCAUUAUCCAUUCUUUCUUUCCAACUUUCAAGUGGCUUUUUCUGGUUGCAUUGUUCAUUAUCCCUUCUUUAUUUUCAUUAUAUUUCAUACAUAAGUAAUAAUCAAAUCCACAACUGCAAUUUCUUUUGA